UUGAUCAGUGAUGACUCUGUUGGUUUGGGGGUCAUGAAGGAGUGCAUAUGUGGAUUUCUCAGGUCCAA
rnacentral:snoRNA from 1 species